rnacentral:rRNA from 1 species
UACAGAGGUCUCGAGCGUUGUCCGGAAUUAUUGGGCGUAAAGGGCUCGUAGGCGGUCUGUCACGUCGGGAGUGAAAACUCAGGGCUUAACCCUGAGCCUGCUUCCGAUACGGGCAGACUAGAGGUAUGCAGGGGAGAACGGAAUUCCUGGUGUAGCGGUGAAAUGCGCAGAUAUCAGGAGGAACACCGGUGGCGAAGGCGGUUCUCUGGGCAUUACCUGACGCUGAGGAGCGAAAGUGUGGGGAGCGAACAGG